rnacentral:lncRNA from 1 species
GGGUGUAAACGAGCCGAACACGAGCUGGCUCGUUAAAGUAUCGAGCCGAAAAAUUCAGUUCAGCUCGUGUUCGGCUCGUUUAUUAACGAGCCGAACACGAGCUGGGCUCACGAGCUGGCCAACGAACAAUAAAUUAAAAAUGAUUAGAUUAAAUAUAUAAAAAAAUAAAUUUAUCAAAUCUUAUCUAUUAGACUUUGAUCUAAUAGUUGAAACUUUAUAUAUAAAUGAGUUUUUUUAUAAUUAAGCUCGCAUUUAUAUUUUUAUUUUACUAAAAUUUAAAUAAUAAAAAUAUAUAUUAUAUAUAAUUAUUUAUUUAUAUAUAAAAAUAUAAAUUAAAUAAAUUAUAUAAAUAUAAAAUAUAUAUAUUCCAGCUGUUAUUGAGCCGAACACGAGCGAGCUGACCCCAGCUCGUGUUCGACUUAUUUAUUAAACGAGCUGAAAAUUCCAGCUCGUGUUCGGCUCGUUUACUAAACGAGCGAGCAGAUCUCGAGCUCAUUUCGAGCCGAACACGAGCUGGCUCACGAACAGCAAGCUGGAUUGGCACCCCUAAUUACAACUAUAAUUACAUGCAGAUCGAAAUUCAAUGUUUGGUUUAAUGUACGUAGUUGAAUGCAAUUGUUAUAGUUGGAACUGCAUGAGGAGGCCCAACUGCAGCAGUUGGAAUUUGGAACUACUAAAUUGGCUGCAAUUUCAACUACAGUAGUUGACGAGAAUAACUUUAA